UGGGGCACCUGGGUGGCUCAGUAGGGUGAGCGUCCAACUUCAGCUCAGGUCGUGAUCUCGCUGUUUGUGAGUUCGAGCCCCGCGUCGGGCUCUGUGCUGACAGUUCAGAGCCUGGAGCCUGCUUCUGAUUCUGUGUCUCCUUCUCUCUCUGUUCCUCCCCAGUCAUACUCUGUCUCUCUUUCUCUCUCAAAAAUAAAUAAACAUUAAAAACAUUAAAAUAAAUAACACUUUGUUUUGGAUUUUGAAACUCCCAUUUCUUGCUUAUUAAAAUCAGGCUACUUAAUAUCACUGGCUAAGAGUUUUCAACUGGUGGAGUCACACAGGGAAAGUGAUGUUACUGUUAUCUUUCUGUUCAGACUGUAGCAGGGAACAACCAUGAGGAUCCAGGCGUGCAGAGAAAGAAGAUCUCAAAGACAGGAGGCUCACAUAACUGAGUUAACACCUCAGCUGUUACUUCCUGUGGCAGCCUGACUCCGAUGUCCCCCAGUGAUCCCCCUCCUAGUAUGGUCCCUCCCCCUGAGCGUGGGCUGGCCUGGCAACUUCCUUCUAGCCAACAGAAUAUAGCAAAGGUGACAGGAUGGCACUUCUGAGAUUAGGUUAGAAGAGAUGAUGGGCUCUGCCUUGCCAGCAGACUCCAUUGCUCUCUCAGCUCACACACGGAUGAAGCAAGCGGCCGUCUCUCCCAGCUGUCACCACAGAAGGACAUUCUGUCAGUCAGGGGUUGGUUCAUCACCCAGACUGAAAUCUGGGCCCCCACAGCAAGCUGCAGAGAGUGGCCUCCGGUUCAACAGUUGGCAAGGAUGUGAGGCCCUCAGACCAACAGCUCAAAGGAACUGAAUUCUGUCAACAACCACUGAGAACCUUGGAAGCGGAUCCUUGCCCCGUUGAGCUUUCGGAUGAAACCCCUGCCCUGGCUGACACUCUGCCGGCAGCCCGUGACAGACUCAGAAGCAGAGCGCCCGGCUAAGCUACCCCCAGGCUCCUGAAGCACGGGGGCCGUGAAACAAUCCAUGUGCACUGUUUUAAGGUGCUGAGUUUGUAGCAAUUUGUUACGCGGCAAUAGAAUGUUAAGACACUUCCCAUCUGGGUGGAUUUGGCAGGUUAUUCCCCGCCUGCCCUUGAAACCUCCAUUUUCUCAUCUGUCAACGUGGCCUGGAUAAUAAUAGAAAUGAUGAUGUUAAUGGCUAUCUUUGGGGAUUUACGUGAGAAACUGCAAAAACACACACACACACACACACACAGAAGUGUGCAAUUGUUGACAUCUGAGUGAGCAAGCGGUCUGGGCUCUGCCUAGGCUGGGUCUUGAAGACAGUGGGGGAGAGCAGUGGGCAGAGGUACUCAGUGGGAAGAGCAGGAAGGGCUUCCCUGAAUCAGCUACGAAGCUUGGAGUUUGGGGAGCUAAAGAUGGGAUGUCGAGUGAAGGCAAAGCUGGGAACUCCAGAAACCACCAAAAGAGUUCAGCCAGACAGGGCUGUAGGUUCAAAGGAAAAGCAGGAAGCAGUGCUAACAAUAAGAUGGAGGGAGACUUUUAUAAGGUGCCAAUGAUGCCAAUAGGUGGGAAGGAUUGAUUAAGACACUACGAGUGUUUAAAUACAUAGCAGAAGUCAAUUCGUGCCAAAGGCACUGGAAUCCAGGGCUUGGGUACCCACUAUGGUUGGCUCUGGGUACCCACCCUCUCUUUUUGAGGGAACUUCUCUCCACACCACCCACAAACCCUAGGGGACUCCUCAUCAAAUGCGAUUCCCAACCCCCACAUCAGACUCCUCUAACAUCGCCACUGGGAUGUCUAAGGGGCAUCUGAGAUUUCAGGUGCCCAGAUCCGAACUUCUGAUUUCACACUCUCCCUCUAAGCUCUGCUGUGGCUGCAGCCUUCACAUCUCAGUGUUGCCCUGACAGCUCGAUAUGGAACAGGGAUGACCUUACAGGGCAUACUGUUGAAGAUGAGAAACGAUAGUUCUUUGGAGAGGAGUUAAGAUGGCGGAGGAGCAUGGAGACCCUGAGUUUGUCUCAUCCCUGAAACGCAGCUAGAUCAGCCCCAAACCAUGUUUGAACACCUAGGAAAUCGAUCUGGGGAUUACCACAACAAUCUGCAUAACUUGAGCCACGGAACUUGGCGGGAAUGCGGUGCAGAGAGGUGAACUGGGACAGAAAAGAUGCAAAAGCAUAGAUUUAAGUAAAAAGAGUGAAGCGUGAACAUCUUCCUUCCUCCCUCCUGCUGUCGUCACCCCUCUCCCGCCACAUUAUGUUCCAAUUGUUGGUAUCAGAAACUAUAGGGCCACCUGCAGUCACCCGCCUGGGACUUACUACCUCUCUGCUGAGAAACAGAUCAUCUCCAUUCCUUUUUGAAAAAAAAGCAUACUCCAAGCAAUACCAUAAUGAACACCCAUAUCCAUAUGCACAAUUAUUUCUUCAGGAUAGGUUCCUAGCAGCGGGACUGUGAAGUCAAAGGACUUGCACAGAAAACAUAUGGUAAGAGACUGACAAAUGAUCCUUUAAGGUGGUUGAACCAAUUCACUUUCCCACCAACAGGGGCAUGGCCUCCGUGCCAAUGCUGGACAUUAUCGAUCUUUCUAAGAAUUUCCAAGAAUGAGGUCCCGUCUUAAUUUACAGGUUCCCGACAACCAGGGCUUGAAUACGUUUUCAUGUAUUUAUUGGCCAUUUGCAUUUGUUCCUCAGUGGGUCGCCUCUCUGUUUUCUUGGUUUGUUUUUCUAUUGGGUUAUUUAUCCCAAAUUACCAACGGAAAAUCUGAGGACUGGGGAAAUUAACUGGCUUCAAGUCCCAGCACGAGUAAGUGGCCGGGCUGGACUGGAGGGUGAUUGUAUUUCUCAAAAGCGCCCAUUCUCAACCACAAGGCCGGUUACUCUGCAUCCCAGGUACCGUCCAGGUGAACCGAUGAAUGAAAACGUGAAGGCUUCAUAAGGACACGGAUAGCGCUCACUUGCAGAGGUGUGGCCCUUUCUGCUUUUACCUGAAACAGCCCGGCCGUCUACCGCAGUUCCCUCCAGGACGGCCACCUGGCUGACCACCGUGACUCUUGCCCUGCGCCGGCCCUGGCUGCCCGUUGGGCCGCAUUUAGCAAUCACAUUGCCCCUGAAGACACAGGCAGCCAGAACUAAAUAACAACCUAUGGCUUAUGGCCAUUUCCUUAGUUAAGCCAACGGGAGCUAGACCAUCCCUGGCUUUCGGUGUGAUUCAUCCUCCAAAACCCAAAUCCAAGACUGCUCUGGAUCUGGCGGGGCUCAGCUGUCAACGCAGAGAGGGAACGCAUAACCAGCUGCCAUCAACUCAUCUGACAUCGUGCCAGGGCCACCCUACCAUUGUUUGUGGCAGAACAACGCCUUUCUGCGGCAGAGGAGGUUUGCAGCCUUGCCCUUUGGGAAGGGCAGCCGACUUCUCAGCAGGCCGGAGAGCGCCUGAGCGCCAGAGGAAUGCCUUCUCUAAAAAUAGAAGUCCUUUGCAGGGCUUCCCGACUAGCAGUCUUAGCGGCAUCCACACCACGUCUUUGCGUUCUGCGCAGGACCAGCUGCAGGCGCGGUGGGGAAAGAUAAUCUGGGCAGAGGGGCCGCUGCUGGGCAGAGAACCCCGUAGCCUGGGGCCGUCACCAACCAGCACUGGGGCGGACCCCUCCUGAAGGCGGCUGCGGUUAGUGUUACGGGGAAACCAGGCAGCUUGGAGGUUUUGUUUGACUGGCAGAAGGGGCUCCAGAAAGCUCCCUCAACCCAUCCUGCCAUGUGCGGACACAUGAACCGAGAGGAAGAUCCUCAUUAGACACUGAAUCUGCUGGUGCCUUGAUCUUGGACGUCCAGAACUAUUUUUUCUUCUGAUUGAUUUGGAGUUUCAUACCAUGGCGGCUGGAAAAGAGGCACCAAAAGAUUCCAUCUUCUUGAAGCUGCACGUCGUUUGACAAACGGGAAAGCGCUGCUCCCAGGGUGCCGCCCACUCUCCCUGCAGCCAGGAGCCCACAAGCCCACGCCGGCGUGCCAAGACCACAAGGUCCCAAUCACGGGGGAUCUGCAUGAGGCCACCCGAGACCUCAGAACCCAGGAAGGCCGGGUUGGGACGCCAACAUUUCUUACGGGCUAUGACCUGGCCGGCUCUUUUGUCCCCUGCAUUUGCAGAGGAAACAACGGUGGAGGUCAUCCAAACAAGAACACGAGCUCCAAAUCAAACUUGACUUUGUCUUUGCAACGCGUCCUUCGAUUUCCAGGCAGUCUGCACAAAGCCGUGCUAAGACAAGCAGCAUUGCUGGGGGCAUUGACGGGGUGCACGCUGCUGUCUUGGCACAGAGGCGGAAGGCAAGGGCUGGAGGGCG